UGGGGAAUUUUGGUCAAUGGAGAAAAACCUUAUCCAGCAAUUCUUCGUGUGAGAAGAAGGCGUUCGGGUUGUAAAGCAGAGUUGUCGGGGAAGAAAUCAUUUGAGCUAAUACCUUAGGGGGAUGACGGUUCUGGAAGAAUAAGCUCGGGGAAAAUACGUGCCAGCAGAAACGGUAAUGCGUAGGGGGCGAGCGUUAAUCGGAAUUGCUGGGCGUAAAGCGUGCGCAGUCGGUUGUGUAAGACAGGUGAGGAAUACCCGGGCUUGACCUGGGAAUAGCAUUUGUGAGGGCACGAAUAGAGUGUGUCAGAGGGGGGUGGAAUUCCAGGAGUAGCAGUGAAAGGCGUAGAUAUGUGGAGGAACACCAAUGGCAGAAGGACAGCCCCGGGGGAUAACACUGACGGUCAUGCACGAAAGCGUGGGGAGCAAACAGGAUUAGAUACCCUGGUAGUCCACGCCGUAAACGAUGUCAACUAGUUGUUGGGGAUUUACUUCCUUGGUAACGUAGCUAACGCGUGAAGUUGACCGCCUGGGGAGUACGGCCGCAAGGUUA
rnacentral:rRNA from 1 species